rnacentral:rRNA from 1 species
AUACGGAGGAUCCGAGCGUUAUCCGGAUUUAUUGGGUUUAAAGGGUGCGCAGGCGGGAGAUUAAGUCGGCGGUGAAAUUUUGCAGCUCAACUGUAAAAGUGCCUUCGAAACUGGUUUUCUUGAGUGUAGAUGAAGUAGGCGGAAUUUGUGGUGUAGCGGUGAAAUGCAUAGAUAUCACGAGGAACUCCGAUUGCGCAGGCAGCUUACUAAACUACUACUGACGCUCAGGCACGAAGGCGUGGGGAUCAAACAGGAUUAGAUACCCUGGUAGUCCACGCAGUAAACGAUGAUUACUAGCUGUUUGCGAUACAAUGUAAGCGGCUGAGCGAAAGCGUUAAGUAAUCCACCUGGGGAGUACGUUCGCAAGAAUGAAACUCAAAUGAAUUGGCGGGG